UACGGAGGGAGCUAGCGUUGUUCGGAAUUACUGGGCGUAAAGCGCGCGUAGGCGGCUUUGUAAGUUAGAGGUGAAAGCCCGGGGCUCAACUCCGGAACUGCCUUUAAGACUGCAUCGCUUGAAUCCGGGAGAGGUGAGUGGAAUUCCGAGUGUAGAGGUGAAAUUCGUAGAUAUUCGGAAGAACACCAGUGGCGAAGGCGGCUCACUGGACCGGUAUGACGCUGAGGUGCGAAAGCGUGGGGAGCAAACAGG
rnacentral:rRNA from 1 species